GGGGGCGGGGCUGGCGGUAAGACUCGGGCGGCUAGCUGCUGCGGGCCUCAGCCGGGAGCUGGGGAAACCGCCGGCCUAACCUCUGAGAGUUGAGGAACUGUCAGGGCGGGACUGCUGGCCCGGCCCGGUUUGCCUGACUUCAGAGGAAAUGGAGCCUGGCUUCGUUUCUCCAGAAACCUCGAAAGAGGCCAGAGCACCUGGCAGGAAGUCCCUUUUUCUCCCCCGAGGGAGAGUCUGGACCUUCUGCAGCCGGGUCCGCCCCCCCGACCCCGCCAGGCUGGGCCAGAUUUGAUGUUCCCCCUAAAGUCUGGCUUUUCAUCCCGCCGUCCAUCACCCCGCCGGGGCCUCCCCUCGGUGAACUUCCCAGUCCCUUGCCCUCGCGCCUCUCCGCUCGUUGCUGGCCCUCCUGACCUGGUCCCCACAUGCUGUCGGCGACGAGAUCUGUGGAGAUCCGCCUGCUGCCGAAGUGCUCUGCCGUCGGAUGUGGUCAAUACACGUAAAGCUCUGCGCGGCCGAUGUCGGAUGUCUAGCGAGCCAAGCCCUCUCCAAGAAGUUCUGGAUCUCAGCCCUGCAGAGGGACCGCUUCCGUGGGAGCUCUGUCUCACCCGUGGUGAUGGCCACUCCCUGCAUCUGCUGUGCCUGCGUUCUUUAAAGCCUGCUGAUUUUAAGUUGAAUUUAAAGAUGCCAAAAGAAGAUAUCCUAUAACCGCAAUCUAGAGUCUAUAAUUUCUCACUCAUUUUAUUAAAAUGUUCCGAAACAGUUUUUGAAAUUGCAGUUAAAAGACGGUAUCCCAGUUUUCUCAGACAUACCAUUCCCAUCGAUAAAAGGGGGGAAAUGUACACUGUACUUAAUUUAUACUCUGCCCAAGGGGCGAGCAGAGGGCACAUCCCAACAACACCUGUUACAGACAAGUCAGAACUUACAAUCUUCUCUGGGCUGCAGAGCUGAACCUCCCUUCUUUGGACUCAGUAAUCCCUCCCCCACCCCAGCAUCUGAAGUUCUUCACCUCUUUUAAUAUAUUUGUAUUCAUGUGUCUACAGAGACCCUUUUAUCAGGCAAAAAUCACCUCCCCCACCCCAAGCAGAAAAUGCCAGGCACCUCACCCUUUCAGCCUCCCUGGCAACUACAGGGCAAGCACAUAUAAAAGCUUCCACCAAUCAGCCACAUCCCUCCCAGACCUCAGAUGGGAAGCUAGUGACUAAACGAGGUCGGUCUAUGCAGACUCAUUUAGCUCUGGUACAGCUACAUCCGGUGUCCAGAGGCAGCGGCGGUAGCAGCUCUAGCUGCCUGGAGCAGUAGAGUAUGGCGGAGGUAACACCGGGGGACUCAUGAGGUGAGAUCAUAAGACGCCAUGGACCUCACUGUGCUCCCCGGGACGCUCCUUCCCGGGACCCAGCCGCCAUGCCGUGAGGAAGCCCAAGCCAGCUCGUGUAGAGCGACCACACCAAGAGGCUUGUGUAGGAGCUCUGGCUGACAGCCGGUCUCAACCGUCAGACCUGCAGUGAGCGAGGAAGCCUUCACGGGAUUCCAGCCCCAGCUGUCAAGUCGCCCUAGCCUUCCGGUCUUCCCAGCUGAGGUCCUGGACACCGUGGAGCAGAGACUACUUUCCUCUCUUUGCCUCUUCUGGGUUCCCAACCCACAGAACCCAGAAAGCUACUGAAGGAUGUGCUCAGUCAAAAUGGGAGGAUAAAGCAAGAAAUUAGAAGAAAGAGGAUCCAGGAAAUGGGCUGCCACCCAAGUGAGAGGAGGUUUCAUGAGGAGCUCCCUACGCCUACGCAACAGAGGAGGGAGAAUCAGUCUGUUGUUCACAGGGGGCUUUGUGCGAUAGCUGCCGUCAAAUGGAGGUGUGCGACCACUGCAUCAAGUCCCACUCAGGGAUGGUCCUGAAAGACAGUAGUGAAGGGAGAGCCUCCCGGUGGUCCCAUUUCGGCCAGUCUGGUCAUCUGCUUUGCUUUGGAGGAGAUGUGGCUGGGGCUCUGGAUCUACACUGACUAAUGAGCGACGGGCAACAGACUGGCUGGCUGGUCGGGCACCUCUAAUGGUCAAGACCAGGAAGUCUGGGAAAGAGGUCCGUGGACGGAAGUCCCAGAAGGAGCACCGGGUGAAGACACGGAGGUGUCGUGAGGCUGACCUUGACAGACUGCAUCAUCCGGACUGCCUCACCUUCCGGCUUCUAGUUGGAUGUGGCCAGUGGAAGCGCUGCAGGACAUCAGAGGUAGGUCAGGGGAUUUAUCAUGGUUUCGACAGUGGCUGCGUGUCCCUACAGUCCCUGCUGCACAGACCCUCUUCCACAGCCUUGACCCCUUGUGGUCCUGACAGCGCCAUCCCCUCUCCUUGCCCCCUUGGUCUCCGUCUAAUGCUAGUGUCUGGAUGCUGCAUCAUCAUUAUUGGUUCCUUUAGCCCUGCCCACAUCGCGCAAAGAGGCCCUUCAUUAACUUUCUUCAAUUAAACCUUCUCUCUGUGCCAUAGACUUCCUGCUGGGAGCCUGACUGAUCUUCGGACCUUUAAGUAAUUCAGCUUUACUGAAGCAAAAAGUUUAAGGUGGGAGGAAAUGGUAAGAAAGGAAGCUGUACGGAGAGGGUGACCAGUUAUGAGAGGCUUUGUGUACUGUGAUAAUGUCCGUUUUACACGCACGGGACAAGCUACCUAACCUCUCUGUGCCUCAGUUUCGUCCCCUAUAAAAUAAGGAUAAUGAUAGCACACACCUUUGGAGUGACUGUGAGGAUUAGAUUAAAGAGCAGUGCCUGGCACAGCAAGUGAUAGCGUUGUUAGGAACACUGAGUGAUUGCAGGGUUUUAAACAAGGAAGUGACCAGGUCAGAUUUGGUGGUUCAGAAGGUUACUCUGGAGGAAGUGUGGAGAAGGCGUGGGGUUUGUCAGUGAGCAAGUGGAAUGAAACAAGACUAGAAGCAGGAACACCAGGAAGGGGACUACUGCAAUAGUCUUAGCAAUAAUAAUAAUAAUAACUUAUGAAGAACUACCAUCCAAACAAGGAAUUAAAGAAAGAGGAUGAUAUAGGUUACAAGAAACAGGAAUUCCAACACAAUAUCUGGGAUCUUUAGGAAUUUCAAUUUUGCUGAAGCCUGAAUAGCAAGGAGGGGGUGAAGGAAGAGCCGCCCCUCCCCCAGCCCCACACCUACACUGUCUGGGGUCCAGAGAGGAUCCUUCUAGCUCGCUGUCACUCUCUCCACCAUUGCUCCCAUCUUAAUUCCUGAUACGCCGACCAUCCACAUAGAGGAUACUUCCAGAACCUUGGCCUCUCAGUUUCUUAAACUCCUCUCCCGCUCUGAUCCUGAUUCUCCGCCCUCCCUCAGCCACUCGCUUCCACAGUCUUACCCUAGACCUCGUCAUUAACAUGACUGCAAUCUUCCCACGCCCAGAUCUUCACCCCAAGCCUCCAAAACCUCCUCCGUCCUCACACUCAGUAGUGAGUUUGCUCCCGUUUUACCAAGGAAGCAGCAGCAGUCAGAAGAGAGCUUCUUCCACAAUCACUCUGCCCGCCCACCAGCCUCUGUGUCCCCAAACUCUCCCCUCCUGCCUGUUCUCUGCUAAGUCAUCCCAGAGACCCCGAGUUAAUGGGUUAGGGGUGUGGCCUGGGCUGGAGAUCUUUAAGUGCUCCCAGAUGACUUUAACGUCCAUCCAAGGUUGAAAACUGUUGCUGUAGAUGAAUGACCCGUGCUCUCCCCUCUUACCUACACAAGGACGUUGUUCCAGAAAUCGUUCCCUCCCUCCCAGCAUCAUUCAUUUGUCCCUCCACUGGCUCUUUCUUAUCAGCUACGAACAUGCUCUUAAUUCUCCCAAUUUAAAGAAAGCUUUUCCACCCCAUUUCUCCCUCCAGCUACUGCUUCACUGCAAAACCUCUCUGAAGGGUACUUGUGUCUGUAAUUCCUCUUCUUCCCUUUGCCCCAUGGACCCACCAAGGCUGUUGCUAUCACGUUCACCAACGGCCUCCUCAGGGCUAUAGCCUGUGGCCGCUGCUCGGUCUUCCACUUCAGUGACAAUCGGCAAAAUCUGUCACAGUGACCACUGCCUUCUCCCUAGAAUGUGUCCUCAAACUGCCUUCCAGGAUGCUACAUUCUUCUGGUUUUCCUCCUAAUUUGUGGGCCCUUCUCAUCCUUUCUUUGUUUCUCCUGUUAUCUGACCCCUUAACACUGGACUGCCCCAAGGCUCAGGCUUUGGACCUCUUCCCUAACCAUGUUCAUUCUCUUGGGACCCUCAUCCAGUCUUGUGGCAUUAAUACUUUCUAAACAUUGACUGCUACAUGUACAUUUCCAGCCUAAAUGCCCGAUGCCUACAUCCAAGUGCCAACUGGACAUCUCUUCUUGAAUGUCUAGCAAGCAUCUCACAUGCAUCACGUGCAGAAUGGAGCCCCGACCUCUUCUCAAACACGCUCCUCCCGGCACUUGCUCCAUGCCGUGAGUGCACGGCAGCUCCGUCCUCUGGGGGGGCGGGGGGGCUCGGGCUCAGUCCUUGUAACCUGCAGGACUGCCACACCCACGGUCAACCUGAGAGCAAAUCCCAGUGGCUCUGCUUUCCUAAUAUACUCAGAAUGCAACUAUUUCUCACCAUCUCUAUUACUACCUUUUAUUCAAAUCCGGUCUCUGUAUCACCUGAGUGAUUGGACAGCCUCCCAUCUGGCGCCCUCGCUCUUGCCUUGCCCCCUACCGUGACUGCUCAGCAUGGCAGCCGUAUUGGUCCAGUUCCACGUAAGUCAGAUCAUGUCUGUCCCGCUCAAACCCUCCAACAUUUUCCCAUCUCAUUCACGGUAAAAGGCAAGGCUCUCAAAAUAGCCUACAGAGCCCUGCGUGGUCCCUUCUCCCCGCCCCCCAUCCACACAUAGGCUAUUAUCUCUCUGACCUCAGAGCUUCCAGCUAUACACAGGCCCGUAAACCCAGGGCCUUUGCACUGGGUGUUCCCUCCUGACCCCGCUCCCAUAGCGAACUUUUCAUCUCCCUUCCCUAGUUUUUAUAAAUUGAACUUUUUAUUUGGGGAUAAUUGUCAAUUCACAUACAGCUGUAAGAAAUAAUACAGAGAGGCCCUGUUUAUCCUUCAGUUUCUCCCAGUGGUGACCUCUUGCAAAACUAUUGUAUAAUAUACAGUGAAUAUGUUGGUCAUCUGUGGCUACUGUAAAAAUUACCACCAACUAGGUGACUUAAAGCAAUAGAAAUUUAUUCUCUCACAAUUCUGCAGGCGAGAAGUCCCAAACCAAGGUGUAGGCAGCGCUGUCUCCCCUUCCGGGGGCUCUAGGAGAGAAUCUGCUCCUUGCUUUUUCCAGCUUCAGGUGGCUGGUCCGCUGCACCUUCCACUCCUCUGUCUUCACAUCACCUUCUCCUGUGCGUGCGUGCCCACGCAUGUGUAAUCUCCUUCUGCCUCUCUCUUAUAAGGACACUUGUAAUGACAUUUGAAGCCCACACGGAUAAUCCAGGAUAAUCUCCUGAUCUCAAGAUCCUUGAUUUAAUUACAUCUGCAAAGACCUUUUCUCCAAAGAAGGCAGCAUUUACAGGUUCUGGGCACUAGGUUUGGACCCACCUCUGGGAGCCAUUACCAACUUCACAUAGCAGUGAAGACAGGACCAUUCCCAUCACCACAGAAUUCCUCAAGUUGCCCUUUAUAGCCACACCCACUUCCCUCCCAUCCCCACUCCCUCCUUAACACCUGGCAACCACUAAUCUGUUCUCCAUCCCUAUAAUUUUGUCAUUUCAAGAAUGUUAUAUAAAUGGAAUCACACAGUAUGUAACAUUCUGAAACUAGCUUUUUUCACUCAGCAUACUUACUUUGAGUGUCACCUGUGUAGUUGUAUGUAUCAAUAGCUUAUUCCUUUUCAUUGCUUAGUGGGAGCCCAUGGUAUGGAUAUGCAAGUUUGUUUAACCCACCAUUCACCCACCAAAGGACACUUGGGUGGCUUCCAAGUUGGGGCUAUUAUGAAUAAAGCUGCUAUGAACAUUCAUAGGCAGAUUUUGGGGUGAACAUAAGUUUUCAUUUCUCUGGGACGAAUGCCCAAGAGUGCAAUUACUGUGUUAAGUGAGUGUUUAGUUUUAUAAGAAAAUGCCAAACUGUGUUCCAGAGGACCAGUUUGCAUUCCCACCAGUAAUGUAGGGGUGAGUUGUUCAGAUUCUCUACAUCUUCACUAGCAUUAGGUAUUGUCACUAGUUUUUAUUUUAGCCAUUCUGAUAGUUUCUAGUCUAAUGGUUAGAGGCAGUGAACAGCCUUCUAUGGGCUUAUUCACCACCCUUAUGUCCUCUUUGGUGAAAUGUCUGUUCAUGUCUUUUGCUCAUUUUCUGAUUGGAUUGUAUGGAGUUUUAAGCAUUCUUUGUAUAGUCUAAAUACUAGUCAUUUGUCUGAUAUGUGUUUUAUACAUAUUUUCUCCUAUCCUUUAGCUUUUAUUGUCAUCUUCUUAGCAGAGUCAUUCAAGAGCAAUUUUUAAAAAUAUUUAUCAGUUUUCCCUUUUAUGGAUGGUGCAUUUGGUGUCAAGUCAAAGCACUGUUCACCUUGCCCUAGAUCCCAAAGAUUUUCUCUGAUAUUUUUUCUAAGGGUUUUAUAGUUUUAUCUUUUACAUUUAAAUCUGUGAUCCAUUUUGAGUUAAUGCUGUAUAAGGUGUGAGAGUUAAGUGGAGUUCAUUUUUACAUCUUUGGACGUCCAGUUGUUCCCACACCAUUUGGUGAAAGGUUAUCUUUUCUCCAUUGAAUUGCUUUUGCACUUCUGUCAAAAAUCAGUUGAGCAUAUUUGUGUGAGUUUAUUUCUGGGUCCUCUGUUCUGUUCUAUUGAUCUACGUAUCUAUCCCUCUGCCAAUAUCACAUUGUCUUGAUUACUGUAGCUAUAGAAUAAGCCUCAACAUGGGGGAGAGUGAUUCUUCCACUUUAUUCUCCUUUUUCAAACAUGUGUUAGGUACUCUAGUUCCUUUGCCUUUUUAUAUAAAUUUUAAAAUAAUCUUCUCUUUAUCUACAAAAACUCUUGCUGGGAUUUUGAUAGGAAUUGAGUUAACCUGAAUAUCAAUUUUGAAAGAACUGAUGUCUUUACUAGGUCAAAUCUUCCAAACCAUCUACAUGCUAUGUCUCUCCAUUUAUUUCGGUUUUCUUUGAUUUCUUUCAUCAUCAUUGGGUAGUUUCAGCAUAUAAAUCCUGCACAUGUUAUAUUUACACUAAAUAGUUCCAUCUUUUGAGUAAUUGUAAAUGGUAUUUUUUUUUUUUAUUUCAGUGUCCACAUGGUCAUUGCUAGUACAUAGAAAUGCUAUUGAUUUUUGUGUCCUUUUAUAAUCUGUGGCCUUGCAGAACUCACUUAUUAGUUCUAGGAGGUUUGUUUGUUUGUGGGCUUUUUUUUAAAGAUUUAUUGGGAUUCUCUGUGUAGACAGUCACGUCAUCUUCAAAUAGGGAUACUUUUAUUUCUUCUUUAGGAUUUCUAUGUCUUUUCUUUCCUUUUUUUGCCUUGUUACUCUGGCUAGAACUUCCAGCAAUGUGUUGAAUAAGAGUAACGAGAGUGGACAUUUUUGCCUUUUUCUGGAUCUUAGGGGAAAAGCAUUCAGUUUUUCACAGUUAAGUGUAGUGUUAGCUCAAGGUGUUCUGUAGAUGCCCUUUAUCAAGUUGAGGAAGUUCCCUCUAUUCCAAUUUUUCUGAGAGUUCUCAUCAUGAAUGGGUGUUGAAUUUUGUCAAAUGCUUACUCUGCAUUGAUUGAUGUGAUCAUUUGAUUUUACUUCUUUAGCUUGUUAAUAUGGUAGGUUACAUUGAUAGAGUUUUUAAAAAAUAUUUAUUUAGUUAUUUAUUUUGGCUGCUCCGGGUCUUAGUCGCAACAUGCGGGAUCUUUGUUGCAGCAC